AUUGAACGCUGGCGGCAGGCCUAACACAUGCAAGUCGAACGAGUGGCGGACGGGUGAGUAAUGUCUGGGAAACUUCCCUAUGGAGGGGGAUAACUACGGGAAACGGUAGCUAAUACCGCCUACCAUCGGAUGUGCCCAGAUGGGAUUAGCUAGUUGGUGGGGUAAAGGCUCACCUAGGCGACGAUCCCUAGCUGGGCUGAGAGGAUGACCAGCCACACUGGAACUGAGACACGGCCCAGACUCCUACGGGAGGCAGCAGGGGGGAAUAUUGCACAAUGGGGGAAAGCCUGAUGCAGCCAUGCCGCGUGAAUGAAGAAGGCCUUCGGGUUGUAAAGUACUUUCAGCGAGGAGGCGUUACCCGCAGAAGAAGCACCGGCUAACUCCGUGCCAGCAGCCGCGGUAAUAC
rnacentral:rRNA from 1 species